AUGAACGCUGGCGGCGUGCCUAAUACAUGCAAGUCGAGCGAACAGACGAGGAGCUUGCUCCUCUGACGUUAGCGGCGGACGGGUGAGUAACACGUGGAUAACCUACCUAUAAGACUGGGAUAACUUCGGGAAACCGGAGCUAAUACCGGAUAAUAUAUUGAACCGCAUGGUUCAAUAGUGAAAGACGGUUUUGCUGUCACUUAUAGAUGGAUCCGCGCCGCAUUAGCUAGUUGGUAAGGUAACGGCUUACCAAGGCAACGAUGCGUAGCCGACCUGAGAGGGUGACCGGCAACACUGGAACUGAGACACGGUCCAGACUCCUACGGGAGGCAGCAGUAGGGAAUCUUCCGCAAUGGGCGAAAGCCUGACGGAGCAACGCCGCGUGAGUGAUGAAGGUCUUCGGAUCGUAAAACUCUGUUAUUAGGGAAGAACAAAUGUGUAAGUAACUAUGCACGUCUUGACGGUACCUAAUCAGAAAGCCACGGCUAACUACGUG
rnacentral:rRNA from 1 species